rnacentral:rRNA from 1 species
CUGAACCAGCCAAGUAGCGUGAAGGAUGACUGCCCUAUGGGUUGUAAACUUCUUUUAUACGGGAAUAAAGUGGAGUAUGCAUACUCCUUUGUAUGUACCGUAUGAAUAAGGAUCGGCUAACUCCGUGCCAGCAGCCGCGGUAAUACGGAGGAUCCGAGCGUUAUCCGGAUUUAUUGGGUUUAAAGGGAGCGUAGGCGGGUGCUUAAGUCAGUUGUGAAAGUUUGCGG